CUUCUUUAUCACCGAGUGCUUGCACUCACCGGUAAAGGGUUGAGUGGCGAACGGGUGAGUAACACGUGGGCAACCUGCCCAAAAGAGGGGGAUAACACUUGGAAACAGGUGCUAAUACCGCAUAACCAUAGUUACCGCAUGGUAGCUAUGUAAAAGGUGGCUAUGCUACCGCUUUUGGAUGGGCCCGCGGCGCAUUAGCUAGUUGGUGGGGUAAAGGCUUACCAAGGCAAUGAUGCGUAGCCGAACUGAGAGGUUGAUCGGCCACAUUGGGACUGAGACACGGCCCAAACUCCUACGGGAGGCAGCAGUAGGGAAUCUUCCACAAUGGGCGAAAGCCUGAUGGAGCAACGCCGCGUGGGUGAAGAAGGUCUUCGGAUCGUAAAACCCUGUUGUUAGAGAAGAAAGUGCGUGAGAGUAACUGUUCACGUUUC
rnacentral:rRNA from 1 species